rnacentral:misc_RNA from 1 species
GAUGAAGAACGUAGCGAAAUGCGAUAAGUAAUGUGAAUUGCAGAAUUCAGUGAAUCACCGAAUCUUUGAACGCACAUUGCGCCCGCUAGUAUUCUGGCGGGCAUGCCUGUCCGAGCGUCAUUUCAACCCUCAAGCCCCCGGGCUUGGUGUUGGGGAUCGGCGAGCCUCCGCGCCCGCCGUCCCCUAAAUCUAGUGGCGGUCUCGCUGUAGCUUCCUCUGCGUAGUAGCACACCUCGCACUGGGAAACAGCGCGGCCACGCCGUUAAACCCCCAACUUCUGAACGUUUGACCUCGGAUCAGGUAGGAAUACCCGCUGAACUUAAGCAUAUCAAUAAGCGGAGGA